rnacentral:tRNA from 1 species
GCUGGCCUAGUGGUUAAGGCUAUGGAUCGUCAUUCCGGAGACGGCGGGUUCGAUUCCCGUUUCAUGCA